rnacentral:rRNA from 1 species
GAUGAACGCUGGCGGCGUGCCUAAUACAUGCAAGUCGAGCGAACAGACGAGGAGCUUGCUCCUCUGACGUUAGCGGCGGACGGGUGAGUAACACGUGGAUAACCUACCUAUAAGACUGGGAUAACUUCGGGAAACCGGAGCUAAUACCGGAUAAUAUAUUGAACCGCAUGGUUCAAUAGUGAAAGACGGUUUUGCUGUCACUUAUAGAUGGAUCCGCGCCGCAUUAGCUAGUUGGUAAGGUAACGGCUUACCAAGGCAACGAUGCGUAGCCGACCUGAGAGGGUGAUCAGCCACACUGGAACUGAGACACGGUCCAGACUCCUACGGGAGGCAGCAGUAGGGAAUCUUCCGCAAUGGGCGAAAGACUGACGGAGCAACGCCGCGUGAGUGAUGAAGGUCUUCGGAUCGUAAAACUCUGUUAUUAGGGAAGAACAAAUGUGUAAGUAACUAUGCACGUCUUGACGGUACCUAAUCAGAAAGCCACGGCUAACUACGUG